UCAGUUCGGAUCGAAGUCUGCAACCCGACUUCGUGAAGCUGGAUUCGCUAGUAAUCGCGCAUCAGCCACGGCGCGGUGAAUACGUUCCCGGGCCUUGUACACACCGCCCGUCAAGCCAUGGGAGCCGGGGGUACCUGAAGUACGUAACCGCAAGGAGCGUCCUAGGGUAAAACUGGUGACUGGGGCUAAGUCGUAACAAGGUAAC
rnacentral:rRNA from 1 species